rnacentral:lncRNA from 1 species
UGCCCACAGCCAAAUCCAAUGAGAUCACGUCUGAUUUUAUCUCGGCAGGUGGGAGCCCAUGAUUAGCAUGUUCCACUGAUCUCCUUUCACUCUUAGCUUUUUUUUUAUUUAAAAAAAUUGCCUUCUUUAAGCCGAAACAGCUCACAACUAAGCUUUGGUCCUUGUAAUUAUUAAUGUAGAUUAGAGUCCUCCCCGUAUCUCUGGACUCUGAAGGGGAAGGGAGAAAAUAAUAUUAUGAAGCCCUCUAAUCUGAAUCACUCCCGUUGUAGAUGGAAAGGUUGAGGGAAAUCUAUUUAAGCAGCACCCGAUCUGGGAGGAACGACCUUCAGCGCAGCCUGUAAGGACAAACCGGCACAUGAAACGUCUGCUGAAGAAAGGGAGGACGUUGUUUGAUGGUGCCUUGGCUGGAAGUUCCCCAGUGCCUGUUCAUCACCACAUCCGCCUACAGAUUCCCAGAAUAAAACAUGGGAGUGUAUGGCUGGCCUGUGAUCUGGAUCGUGGAUCCCCUUACCCCAAAAUUUCUCAUCAAGUAACAUGCCAAAGCCAAAAUGUUUGGUAAUUCUACCCUGUUCAUAUAAUUUUUAUUCUCCUCUCUGGAAGGAAGUGCAGUAAUGGGUCUUAAUUCUGGAGUUACAAUUUGCUGAUUAGAUAUCAAGGGCCUCCCAAGAUGGUGACGGCUAUGCGGGAAACGUCUACCUAAAUAUUGUGCCAGCUAAGCUCUUUGGACUGCCACUAUCAUACUCUCACUCUCUCUCACUCUCCUUUCAUAAGAAUCAACUCUACAGAAGAAACCACACAAAGUACUAGUUUGAGAAAAUUAAAGAAACCAACUCUUUGUAAUUUUAGCCACUUUCUAAACAUUCAAACUCUCUUCCAUAGAGUGAUAUGUUUGCUUUUAGUAGCACAUGUGCUCAAUUUAUGGUGCUCCAGAAAAGAUUAGCACAGUCCCUAUGCUCAGAGGAUAU